rnacentral:lncRNA from 1 species
GCCAAAGAGGGAGAGAAGCCAAACGGAGAACCUUUCACGCCGAGCAGGGCAGAUGGCGGCGUGUACAAAGCCCAGACUCUUGAUGAGGACACCUCAGGAGCGCUGGAAAUCAAGGAGGCCCCGGACGUGCCCGUGGACGUACCUGUGGACCAGAAACCGGCGGAGAUGGUGAAAGAAGUUGAAGAGACACACAGGAACAGCCCUGAUUUUGAAAGCAACAAGGAAGACAACUCACCAAUGUCUUUUAAGAAAGAGUUUCUCUUAAGACACAACACGGAGAAAGAAGUAGAAGGAUGCUCCUCACGUGACGUUCACCCCAGAGAGAGAUCUUUAUGGGCGGGUCUAAGCCGUCUUCCCUUCCGGCGCCUCCUGGGCCCUUUCCCUGCCGUCGAAGGACCCGAGGACUUGAGCUGCUGGCUCUCACAGAUGCAAGGCACACGGAACCAUCUGCUGUCAGGAUUGUUUAAGAACACACAGAGAUUGCACCGUCGCUGCACAGGUAUUUCCUUCGACUUUCCACUCGCACAGCCUGGCCAGGUGGUGCUCUUCACGGUAGGAGGAGGAAGCAGAACGCGCCCUGUCUCGUCCUUGGUGGCCGAGGGCACCAGCAGCAGUAACGGGGGUGGC